UACGAAGGGUGCUAGCGUUGUUCGGAAUGACUGGGCGUAAAGGGUGCGUAGGCGGCGAGAAACGUCUGAUGUGAAAUCCCUGGGCUUAACCUAGGAACUGCAUUGGAUACGGUCUGGCUAGAGUCCGCGAGAGGAAGAUGGAAUUGUGCGUGUAGAGGUGAAAUUCGUAGAUAUGCACAAGAACACCGGUGGCGAAGGCGAUCUUCUGGAGCGGUACUGACGCUAAGGCACGAAAGUGUGGGGAGCAAACAGG
rnacentral:rRNA from 1 species